rnacentral:lncRNA from 1 species
UUGGGAAAAAAGAGGUAUAUGAAGGAAUUACGUGCUGAAAGAGAUAUACAUAUGGGCUUUCUUGACAUUAAGCGGCCUGGCCAUUUCGAUUUCUCAUUGGCUCUUGAACAGAUAAAGGAACCAUGUGGGAGGAGAAUGAAGAUGCACCCUGCCUUGUCAGGCACUGAAUGGGACAACUAUAGUGGGGCUCAAAGGGGGUGAAUCCCCUAUUUAAAGUGUUGAAGAUCACCAAGAGAGAAGGCAAGGGCUGCAGCUCUUAAAGCCUGGAACGGUUUGGACACUGCAACUUUUCCUACAUAAGGGAAGGUCCUUUAAGCACG